CAUGCAAGUCGAACGAGAAUCUACUGAAAGAGUUCUCGGACAAUGGAUGUAGAGGAAAGUGGCGGACGGGUGAGUAACGCGUGAGGAACCUGCCUUGAAGAGGGGGACAACAGUUGGAAACGACUGCUAAUACCGCAUGACGCAUAGAGGUCGCAUGAUCUUUAUGCCAAAGAUUUAUCGCUUCAAGAUGGCCUCGCGUCUGAUUAGCUAGUUGGCGGGGUAACGGCCCACCAAGGCGACGAUCAGUAGCCGGACUGAGAGGUUGAACGGCCACAUUGGGACUGAGAUACGGCCCAGACUCCUACGGGAGGCAGCAGUGGGGAAUAUUGGGCAAUGGGCGCAAGCCUGACCCAGCAACGCCGCGUGAAGGAAGAAGGCUUUCGGGUUGUAAACUUCUUUUAAGAGGGAAGAGCAGAAGACGGUACCUCUAGAAUAAGCCACGGCUAACUACGUGCCAGCAGCCGCGGUAAUACGUAGGUGGCAAGCGUUGUCCGGAUUUACUGGGUGUAAAGGGCGUGCAGCCGGGUCUGCAAGUCAGAUGUGAAAUCCAUGGGCUCAACCCAUGAACUGCAUUUGAAACUGUAGAUCUUGAGUGUCGGAGGGGCAAUCGGAAUUCCUAGUGUAGCGGUGAAAUGCGUAGAUAUUAGGAGGAACACCAGUGGCGAAGGCGGAUUGCUGGACGAUAACUGACGGUGAGGCGCGAAAGUGUGGGGAGCAAACAGGAUUAGAUACCCUGGUAGUCCACACUGUAAACGAUGAAUACUAGGUGUGCGGGGACUGACCCCUUGCGUGCCGCAGUAAACACAAUAAGUAUUCCACCUGGGGAGUACGAUCGCA
rnacentral:rRNA from 1 species